AUGGUGUUGGGAUGGGGAGAGGUUGGUAUAGGUUUAGGGUUGUUAUAGUGUUGGGAUGGAGAGAGGUUGGUAUAGGUUUAGGGUUGUUAUGGUAUUGGAUGGGGAGAGGUUGGUGUAGGUUUAGGGUUGUUAAGGGUUGGGAUGGGGAGAGGUUGGGAUAGGUUUAGGGUUGUUAUGGUGUUGGGAUGGGGAGAGGUUGGGAUAGGUUUAGGGUUGUUAUAGUGUUGGAUGGGGAGAGGUUGGGAUAGGUUUAGGGUUGUUAUGGUGUUGGGAUGGGGAGAGGUUGGUAUAGGUUUAGGGUUGUUAUGGUGUUGGAUGGGGAGAGGUUGGGAUAGGUUUAGGGUUGUUAUAGUGUUGGGAUGGGGAGAGGUUGGGAUAGGUUUAGGGUUGUUAUGGUGUUGGGAUGGGGAGACUACCGCAAAUGUGCUUAGACGUAUAACACAUUUCACAAUCGGAACUGGUACCUGAAUCUAUUUUGAGUUAUUUCUGUUUAAUAGCACAGGAUGUGUAAAAAUUAUUGGGAAAAAAAAGAAAUCUGGGGAAAAAAAAGUGUACCCCCCAUUUUUAACAUUUUAUUCUAACUUAAUACCGUUAGGUAUACAUAUAGGAUGUUAAAGAAAGCUCUCUCUCUAUAUAUAUUUAUAUAUAUUAUGUUAUUAUUUAUAUAGCGCCAUCAAAUUCCGCAGAGCUUUACAAUGGGUGGACGAACAGACCAGUAGUUGUAACCAGACAAGUUGGACACACAGGAACUAUAAAUCCAAAAAGGUUAUGGUGGGGAAAAAUUGUGAUUGAAAACCCUUUCCACCUGAAGUCUGUGGAUAGUGAAUACAAUGUUAAUCAAAAAUCUGCACACCAGUCAAGCCAGAAGACUUGCUUUUUCCACAGAAAUCACAAUUUUGCAGUGAUGUUACUACCGCAAAGGGUUCUGGGUGAGCAUAUGCAAAUUAAUUCAACAAAGAAUCACAUUUCUUUGUUGAACUAUACACACCAGGGGUGAAAUUCGUCUCAUGAGUGCUAAAUCUACACUUGCGAAUGUCUAAAUGUUAAUCCCUGCAGUUCACCAUUUAUGCACAAAGUCCUCAUGAUGAAAUACACUUGGACACAUAUUAAAAUAAGACUAUAUAGAAAGGGGCAGUUUCUCUACAAAUGACAAAUAAUUGGUGUAGUAUUUAUCAAUGCCUCAAAGAAUCGAAGAUCCUAGGGGUGCCAUAGAACAUUCAAGGUUCUCAAAUUAAUAAAAUAAUUAAGUGAAAUAAUAAAUUGUCGGCUUUGUACGUUUUCCAAAAUAAUGAGAUGAGUUAAUUUUUGUUUAUUUUGAGAUUGUAUCCCUUGAUUAUUCAGGAUUCAAACUUUGAACUCUGUUUUAUCAUACUGAGACUACACACAUAAUCUGCUCUGUAUUCUAUUGUCUAAUAAACAAUAGUACUACAAAUUAACAAAAAGAA
rnacentral:lncRNA from 1 species